rnacentral:rRNA from 1 species
GACGAACGCUGGCGGCGUGCUUAACACAUGCAAGUCGAGCGGUAAGGCCCUUUCGGGGGUACACGAGCGGCGAACGGGUGAGUAACACGUGGGUGACCUGCCCUCAGCUCUGGGAUAAGCCUGGGAAACUGGGUCUAAUACUGGAUAUGACUCCACGGUGCAUGUCGUGGGGUGGAAAGCCUUGUGCGGCUGAGGAUGGGCCCGCGGCCUAUCAGCUUGUUGGUGGGGUGAUGGCCUACCAAGGCGACGACGGGUAGCCGGCCUGAGAGGGCGACCGGCCACACUGGGACUGAGACACGGCCCAGACUCCUACGGGAGGCAGCAGUGGGAAUCUUGCGCAAUGGGCGAAAGCCUGACGCAGCGACGCCGCGUGAGGGAUGACGGCC